rnacentral:rRNA from 1 species
GUGCCGCAGCCGCGGUAAUUCCAGCUCCAAUAGCGUAUAUUAAAGUUGUUGUGGUUAAAAAGCUCGUAGUUGAACCUUGGGCCUGGCUGGCCGGUCCGCCUCACCGCGUGCACUGGUCCGGCCGGGCCUUUCCCUCUGUGGAACCCCAUACCCUUCACUGGGCGUGGCGGGGAAACAGGACAUUUACUUUGAAAAAAUUAGAGUGCUCCAGGCAGGCCUAUGCUCGAAUACAUUAGCAUGGAAUAAUAAAAUAGGACGCGCGGUUCUAUUUUGUUGGUUUAUAGGACCGCCGUAAUGAUUAAUAGGGACAGUCGGGGGCAUCAGUAUUCAACUGUCAGAGGUGAAAUUCUUGGAUCAGUUGAAGACUAACUACUGCGAAAGCAUUUGCCAAGGAUGUUUUCAUUAAUCAGGAACGAAAGUUAGGGGAUCGAAGACGAUCAGAUACCGUCGUAGUCUUAACCAUAAACUAUGCCGACUAGGGAUCGGACGGUGUUAUUCAUGACCCGUUCGGCACCUUACGAGAAAUCAAAGUGCUUGGGCUCCAGGGGGAGUAUGGUCGCAAGGCUGAAACUUAAAGAAAUUGACGGAAGGGCACCACCAGGGGUGGAGCCUGCGGCUUAAUUUGACUCAACACGGGGAAACUCACCAGGUCCAGACACAAUAAGGAUUGACAGAUUGAGAGCUCUUUCUUGAUUUUGUGGGUGGUGGUGCAUGGCCGUUCUUAGUUGGUGGGGUGACUUGUCUGCUUAAUUGCGAUAACGAACGAGACCUUAACCUGCUAAAUAGCCCGCAUUGCUCCGGCAGUGCGCUGGCUUCUUAGAGGGACUUUCGG